UUAUCGUUAGUUGCCAUCUGGUAAUGCAGGGGACUCUAGCGAAACUGCCACCGUAAGGUGAGAGGAAGGUGGGAUGACGUCAAAUCAGCACGGCCCUUAUGUCCAGGGCUACACACGUGCUACAAUGGGUGGUACAAAGAGAAGCCAACUCGCGAGAGCGCGCCAAUCUCAAAAAGCCAUCCUCAGUUCGGAUUGGAGUCUGCAACUCGACUCCAUGAAGUUGGAAUCGCUAGUAAUCGCGGAUCAGCAUGCCGCGGUGAAUACGUUCCCGGGCCUU
rnacentral:rRNA from 1 species